AACAGGCAGAGACGAAGGGGUGGGUGGCUGUGCGCCAAUGCUUUGAAUGGAUUGGUCCCGCUAAAACUGGAUAGAUAGAUAGAUAGAUAGAUAGAUAGAUAGAUAGAAAGAACAGAUACUGCGAGUGUGAGGCCGUGGCAAGGGUGGAAGUCAUCGGAAGUGUGCCAAGACCAACAACACCACUCCUGCUGUAGUUUGUGUGUUAAAUUCUCUUUUCAUUUAAACAAUAUGCGUCGCUGUUCAGCUUUUGUCUGGAGCAGGUUAUCGACCAAGGCAAGGGAUGUGGCAAGACUUUCACCUAGUGAAACACUCGCCUAUAGGUACCAAAACUGACUCUGUUACUGAAUAAGAACGUUUACUGAUCCAGACCUUCUGUACUCGGUGGCUCGGACAAACUGGGACGAUUACAUAUGGUUUCAGGCACCAGUGACUAUGAAAGGAUUUUAUAAAUAAUUUAAUGGGAAAUGCCACGAGUUGGUUGGCAACAAUAUAUCUGACACUUAAAAAUAGGCAUUUUAAUUUUUUUGGUGUAUAUGGUUGUGGGGGGCAGAGGAAGAGGAGGUAUUUUAGGGACUGCAACCACCUGCCUUUGGAAGAAUACCUCAAGUUAAAUCUCUAAGAAGGGAAAUUUUUAUUGCAUGUUUUAAGAACUCUGUUUAAUAAUUAUAUAUAAUUCCUUUCAAUUUAGUGUUUGUGUUGACGUUUGUGCUGUGUAAGGACAAUAGAUGAGAAAGGACACGUAUAAGUCCCAAGCCAGGCCUGUGAAAUAGCUUGAAACCCACUGUUACAAAUGUGUCCACGCCACCCAAAACAGACAGGGUAAUUGCAUGGUCAGAAAGACACACUACCAGAUUUGCUAGAGAACCAGACUCCGCCUAAUAGUAAUCCUGCUACUACUGGAUAUUAGUAUACCCAUUUCAAUCGGCUGUCAACAGAAACUUACCAACACUUUUCUAGAGACAAAAGGUCACAUAUAUACCUCGGGUAUUCAGGCAAUUCAGCAUAUGAAUGUAAAUCUACUAAAGAAUCUCUCUUCACGGAUGGCUUUUAAAGACAAAACAGGGAUGGACAGACCAGGUAAAACACAGUGUUAAAGAAACAGCUGCUGUACUCCAAAAAGAGAACAUUUUGUAUAAUUUGUCUUGCAAAACAGAAAAUAAAUCUUCAAUGAUGGAAUUACAUUUUUUAGGUUCCUUAUAAAGUGCCCAUAUCCUCAGUACCCUUGUACAGUGCUGGGCUACCUACGGUCCACUGGGUGUGUUACAAUGGUCCUUGCCAAGUUUAUACUAUAAAAAAAACUGGCCUUUGGAAUUCUAUUAUCACAGAUGAAAUUGAGAAGUUAAAAAAAAUGUGGCAGGAAUCUGGGAUCCACUGCAGUGUUAGAUUUUUUGCUCAGGAACACAAAUUGAAUGAAGUUAAGAUUAAGAUUACACCUGAAAUUAGAUUGUAUACCAAAUAAUAAGUGAACCUUUAACUGCUGGUUUCACAAACCCAGAGAUGCCAAUACUUGAGAGUGAACAAAAUGGCACCAAGUCAGGGAGGUAAAAUGGGUCUGUGAAACUUGAUGCAAGUAUCCAGUCAAAUAAAGUUGAGGUAAAAUGUGUAUUUAGUUUCAAGUGAAAUCCAUUUUUCUUACCUGUACACAGUGACUGAGCAUUUUAUAAUGCACCCCUUGAUCACCAUGUUUGUCUCCAACAUCAGGUCGCAAAGAAAAAGCAGACGACAGGCUGUAGUUACUGCAACGAGUAUUUAUUCUGUCUACAUGUUUUCUGCAGAGAAUGUGGAUUUUCAACGCUUUGUAUCCUCUUGAUCCAUAAUCGGGUUCACAUAACUGGUACGCAGA